ensembl:lncRNA
AAAUCUCAGAAACCUCCUAUGCUGUAAUCUUUGAGUUUAAUGUAAGUAAUAUCAGCAAGCCAGAGAACCCUGAGCUAAGAAACAGCCUUUACAUGCAAGUGCAAGAUGUCGUCAAUAAUGCGCUGAACACACUUCUGAAUGAACCCAGCAGUCCAAUUGUACAACCCAAAUCAUCCAAAUUCACGAGCUCUUCAAAACAGAUUGAUGGCAGGAUGGACUACACCUUCCAGGAUGGAGAUGCCAUACAACCAGUCAGCUUCCUAAAUGAGCUUCGAUCACAGUCUGGUAUGUCUAUACAAAAUGAAAAAUACUCUUGACAGUUACAACAACUUUUCCUCAAAAUCUAAAUAUUAUUGUAUGUUUCUCCCUUUCAUUGCAGAACUGACCCAUACUACAAUGUUUCCAGACACAAUAACCAAUUUCCCUUUGACUUCUUCAAGCCUAAUGCAAGUAUUGAGAUUCCAUUUAAAUGCAGUCUGUUAUGGAUUCAUAAUUUUAGCACAAAAAGUGAACCACAUUAAUCAAAAGUGAUCCUCUUUGCAGAUCUGGUACAGCGGUGGUCAUAAGCAAGCUGGUGUUCAACUCCUCAUCUCCAGUCCCCAGUGAAGCUCUGGUCCUCAGCGCCAUCAACACUCUCCGUAAUUCCAGAGAGUCACAGCUCAGUGAAUCAGUGCAGGUGGUGAAUGUCACCUAUGAGAGUAAGUCUCAUAAUUUUCAGUUUAGAAGCGUUUUAAAUGGAUAUGAGCAAAACAGCAAUGAAUGUCAAAUUUUCACCCAAUCAAAAAUAACCAUUUCUUUCUAAACAGAAAUUUCGGAAUCUUCCUAUGCUGUCAUUUUUAAAUUUAAUAUGAGUGACAUCAGCAUGCCAAGGGACUCUGGACUCAGAAACAACAUCUACCUGCAAGUACAGGAUACUAUCAAUAAAGCGCUAAACACUCUUCUGAAUGAACCUAGCAGUCCAGUUUUACAAUCCAUUUCAUCCAACUUUAAGAGUUCAUUAAAUCAGAUUGAGGGCAGUAUGGAGUACAACUUCCAAGAUGCAGAUGUCAUAAAACCAGUCAGAUUCCUACAGGCGCUUAGUUCAUUGACAGUCUUAACAACAGCCAGUACUCUGACAUCAAGCAUAACUUCUCCACCAACAUUGUUGGGGAAGGCUUAUAUAAAAAUUGAAUUGGUGUUUCACACACUGGGCCCAAUCCCUAGUAAGGAUUACAUUAUAAACUUGGCCAGCUCUACGCUCAACCCACGUUACAGAACUAAAGUAGUCGCACCACCAACCCAGGGUACGAGCCUUGUGGAUAUCGGCUAUAAAAAACUUAAUGAAACCUCCUAUGCUCUCACAUUUGAAUUUGAAAUCACUAAUAUAUCCAUGUCUGAGAAACGUGAACUAAGGAAUGAAACCUAUACUUCAAUCAAAAGCACUAUAAAUAAAUUGCUUGUCGACAUCCUAAAGGAUCCCUCAGCUUCUCAGUUUGAUCUGCAACACAUUGAAUUCGAUGGUAAUAGCACAGUGAUUCUGGCCAGUGUUCAGUAUGUUUUCUCAGAAAGUGACUUGAGCAUAAACAGCACCUUUGUCAAGGAAAUAUUCAAAGCUAAGGAAGACUUAACGACAGCCAGUACUCCGACAACAAGCACAUCUCCACCCAGUACUCUGAAAAUAAGCACAUCUCCACCAAAUGUGCUUGGGAAGGUGAUCAUAUACAUCAGCCUUGUGUUUAAAACACGGGGUACUAUCCCAAGUGAGAGUAACGUUGUAAAUGUGGCUAACACCCUGUUGUCUGGAAUGAAACUGAGAAUGAAACGAUCCCUCACAACAAAAGAUCUGACUGAGCUUGUGAACUUUGUGAAUGUCACCUAUACAAAAAUGGAUGAUAACUCCUUCUCUCUGAACUUUGGAUUUGAAAUCAGCAAUGUGUCCAUGUCUGAAAGAGUUGAAUUCAGGAAUGAGACCUUCACAGUGAUCCAGGACUAUAUAAAUACAUUUGUGUCCAAGAUCCUGAAUAAAACAACAACUACUUACCUUAAUUUCAAUCAAAUCAAUUUCAAGGGUAACUCCUCCGUGAUUGAGGCCAACGUACAGUAUGUUUUCACAGACAGUGACAUCGGCAGUUUCGGCUUGGUCUCUGCUUUCCUCGGACUUACUACAACAGCCGCUCCAACCACCUAUUACCCCACAGUCCUGACCAGUACAAUCUUAAACAAUAGUACAAACGUAGCAUGGAUUGUGGCUAUCAUUGUCCCCUGCGCUAUUGUCAUCGGGCUCGUACCUUGCUGGAUUCUCCUUUGCUGUUUGCUGUGUGGUUGCUGUGCAGCAAUCAGAAAACGUUGGCACAGAAGACGAUCAUACAAUGUACAGUACACAACUCGAAACAGCAUCUUCUAGAGGUAUUCAAGAACAAACUUUGAUGCUUAAAAUAUUAAUUUUCCUGUAUUGCUGGGCAUACAGAACCUCUGUAUACAGAACUGUGAUUUAAAAAAAAAAAAAAAUACUAUUUAAGGAAUGAUUUUAUUUAUUUAAAAAACUGUUAUGUAAAGUAAUGAGAAUCUUGUUUUCUAAAUGAAAGAUUUAUUUGGUAGUAUGUAUUUAAUGUUAAGGGAAAAAAUGUAGAAUGUGUUGAUCACUUAUUUAUUCACACUUAAUGUACUUUAUCUAAAAUAACAUAUUGCACUCUGAUGACAUAUGUAUGUACGAAUCACAAUUAAUGUUUUAAGACUGUGUAGUUAAAAACUAUAAUUUAAUAAAACAAUUCAAUACCAAUAUGAGAACAUUAUUGUAGCCUAUCCUUAAUUGUUGGU